UAAUAAAUCAUUGCCAUGAGCAAUGAUUUAAUAAUUGAAGUGUUAAUGACAAAAUAAUGACAGUAUAAAAUGAAUGUAGGUAUUAGUAGACGGUAUCUUGAUUUGUGGCAUUCUAAUCACAACACGUCUCCAAGAUGAUUAAAGCGGUGAUAUUGAUAGUGGUAUCGCUGCUCUACUACACUCAAGCGAAGAUUCACCGGGCAGCACUACCACCAGAGCUUCAACCCCGCCACCCUAUGGAUGUAUACUCCAGUGUAUUAGACCAUAGGAACCAAUGGCUAUAUUACAACCCAUUGCUCAUAUAGACUCGCUCAUUAUGCACAGCAUAAGGUAGAGUUUGCGUUAGUUUUAUCUAGUAGAUACAGUAGUAAACUGUUUUAGUACUUGUUCUAGUAGUAUUAAUUUUUAGCUGCGUGUAUGCUUAGCAACUUAUUUUUUCUCUCAUUUAUUUAUUUACCUUUUUUUAUUUUUUAACAAUCUAUACUAAUAUAAUAAAGCUGAAGAGUUUU